GUGCCAGCCGCCGCGCGGUAAUACCGGCAGCCCGAGUGAUGGCCGAUCUUAUUGGGCCUAAAGCGUCCGUAGCUGGCCGCGCAAGUCCAUCGGGAAAUCCACUCGCUCAACGAGUGGCCGUCCGGUGGAAACUCCACACCUUGGGACCGGAAGGCUCGAAGGGUACGGCCGGGGUAGGAGUGAAAUCCUGUAAUCCCGUCCGGACCACCGAUGGCGAAAGCGCCUCGGGAAGACGGACCCGACAGUGAGGGACGAAAGCUGGGAUCUCGAACCGGAUUAGAUACCCUAGUAGUCC
rnacentral:rRNA from 1 species